GAAUGUGCUUCGUAUUGAUAAUUAUGUUGCUUUUAUCUGAUUUUAAUUUUGCCAUUUUGCUUGCAAUGAUUGGAAAGUGUGUUGAAUUUAGAGGUAGUGCUGGUCAAAUUACAUUUUAAUUCUUUUUUAAUAUGGGUUAUAUUUUUAGUAGUCUAAGUGAUUGAGUGUUUUACAUGUAAAAAUGACAAACCAUCUCAAUGUUGCAACUCAAUCAUUUUUAUUCACCCUUUCAAUAUUAUAUUUAUCCAAUGUGGGAUAACAUUCCCAACAAGUUUUCCUUAUAUUGGCAAUGUAAAUGCAGGUGAUGUUAUGUAUAGUUGGC
rnacentral:misc_RNA from 1 species